AGUGAACGCUGGCGGUAGGCCUAACACAUGCAAGUCGAACGGCAGCACAGUAAGAGCUUGCUCUUACGGGUGGCGAGUGGCGGACGGGUGAGGAAUACAUCGGAAUCUACUUUUUCGUGGGGGAUAACGUAGGGAAACUUACGCUAAUACCGCAUACGACCUACGGGUGAAAGCAGGGGAUCUUCGGACCUUGCGCGAUUGAAUGAGCCGAUGUCGGAUUAGCUAGUUGGCGGGGUAAAGGCCCACCAAGGCGACGAUCCGUAGCUGGUCUGAGAGGAUGAUCAGCCACACUGGAACUGAGACACGGUCCAGACUCCUACGGGAGGCAGCAGAGGGGAAUAUUGGACAAUGGGCGCAAGCCUGAUCCAGCCAUACCGCGUGGGUGAAGAAGGCCUUCGGGUUGUAAAGCCCUUUUGUUGGGAAAGAAAAGCAGCAGGUUAAUACCCCGCUGUCCUGACGGUACCCAAAGAAUAAGCACCGGCUAACUUCGUG
rnacentral:rRNA from 1 species